rnacentral:rRNA from 1 species
UAGGGAAUCUUCCACAAUGGGCGCAAGCCUGAUGGAGCAACACCGCGUGAGUGAAGAAGGGUUUCGGCUCGUAAAGCUCUGUUGUUAAAGAAGAACACGUAUGAGAGCAACUGUUCAUACGUUGACGGUAUUUAACCAGAAAGUCACGGCUAACUACGUGCUAG